GUGAACGCUGGCGGUCGGCCUAACACAUGCAAGUCGAACGGCAGCACCGUAAGAGCUUGCUCUUACGGGUGGCGAGUGGCGGACGGGUGAGGAAUACAUCGGAAUCUACUUUUUCGUGGGGGAUAACGUAGGGAAACUUACGCUAGUACCGCAUACGACCUACGGGUGAAAGCAGGGGAUCUUCGGACCUUGCGCGAUUGAAUGAGCCGAUGUCGGAUUAGCUAGUUGGCGGGGUAAAGGCACACCAAGGCGACGAUCCGUAGCUGGUCUGAGAGGAUGAUCAGCCACACUGGAACUGAGACACGGUCCAGACUCCUACGGGAGGCAGCAGUGGGGAAUAUUGGACAAUGGGCGCAAGCCUGAUCCAGCCAUACCGCGUGGGUGAAGAAGGCCUUCGGGUUGUAAAGCCCUUUUGUUGGGAAAGAAAAGCAGCAGGUUAAUACCCCGCUGUUCUGACGGUACCCAAAGAAUAAGCACCGGCUAACUUCGUG
rnacentral:rRNA from 1 species